rnacentral:rRNA from 1 species
UUUUAUGUACAUGCCUAAAAUGUUAAUGCACCGGAUCCCAUUGGAACUCCACAAUUAAGCACACUUGGGCUAGAGUAGUAUUGGGAUGGGUGAACUCAUAGGAAGUCCUAAUGUUUUACAUG